AAACAAGGUGCUUGACGUUCAGGCACUGUAGAGCUCACUGGGAGCUCGGCCUGGGGGCUCCUGAGAACCGUUGUUCCAUCUUUUCCUGUCCACUGACAUAAGAAGCAGAGCUUAUGCUGAAAGCAGGCAGAAUGUGUUUGCUGCGUGAACAUGAGGUCCCGAUAUGGAUCCCAGCACUAACUUCUGGAGAAGCUGCCAUGCCGUGCACAUGGCAACCUCAGUGCAGAGACAAACGGCUCCUCAAGCCUUGCCUGACAGCUGCGUGACUGACUGAAGAGCUGAGCUCAGGGAUUCCUAUGGCCUGGCUGACAAUCUGGUCUUUGAAGUCGAUUCACUGACUGCCAAACUCCCUUUUAAGAGUUGCAAUGCUUUGCUUCAUAGUUGUUUACAUAAUUACAACCUUCCAACCACAUGCAGGUUUUUAUUGCUGUGCGUAUGUGUAUGAGGAUGGCUCUGGCUCUCUGGUACUGAAAGCAUUGAUUAAGUCAGGAGGUUUUGUUUUACAAGGUAGAAGGCUAAAUGUUAGAUAAGGAUUUCUCACAAGAACUUGUUAAGACCCAGGUGGUAUAAGAAACUUCAAACUCUUUGAAGGUUUACUGUAAACUAUGAGUGACUCUAUUCUAAUCAGGAAGUUUGAUGGAAUCUAUAAAUUGAUCUUCUGUAUCUGUUACUUGAGAAACUUUGUACCUGAUUGAUUUUGCAUUUCCUUGUACCAAAUGGCUAUGAUAAUUGUGCUUGCCUCACUGGCUACAUCUUUUGAAAUGGUAAUACCAACUCUUCUUGUAUAGAAA